UGAGGAACAUGACUUUCGGUGGGGGAUAGCCGGCCCAACGGCCGGGUAAUACCGCGUACGACCUUUUGGGGACAUCCCUGAUUGGUGAAAGCAGCAAUGCGCCGAAAGAGUGCCUCGCGGCCUGUCAGCUAGUUGGUGGGGUAAUGGCUCACCAAGGCAACGACGGGUAGCUGGUCUGAGAGGAUGGCCAGCCACAUUGGGACUGAGACACGGCCCAGACUCCUAGGGAGNAG
rnacentral:rRNA from 1 species